GACAGAGGGGGCAAGCGUUGCUCGGAAUUACUGGGCGUAAAGAGCGUGUAGGCGGCCAGACAGGUCCGUUGUGAAAACUCGAGGCUCAACCUCGAGACGCCGAUGGAAACCCUCCAGCUAGAGUCCGGAAGAGGAGAGUGGAAUUCCUGGUGUAGCGGUGAAAUGCGCAGAUAUCAGGAAGAACACCCGUGGCUAAGGCGGCUCUCUAGUACGGUACUGACGCUGAGACGCGAAAGCGUGGGGAGCGAACAGG
rnacentral:rRNA from 1 species